UGAUAGUCUGAGUUUGGUUAAGGUAGCGGAAUGUGUAAUGUAGCGGUGAAAUGCUUAGAUAUUACACAGAACACCGAUUGCGUAGGCAGCUUACUGAGCCGACACUGACGCUGAGGCACGAAAGCGUGGGGAUCGAACAGGAUUGGAUACCCUGGUAGUCCACGCCGUAAACGAUGAUUACUCGCUGUUGGCGAUACACUGUCAGCGGCUAAGCAAAAGCAAUAAGUAAUCCACCUGGGGAGUACGGCCGCAAGGCUGAAACUCAAAGGAAUUGACGGGGGCCCGCACAAGCGGAGGAACAUGUGGUUUAAUUCGAUGGUACGCGAGGAACCUUACCUGGGCUUAAAUGUAGAGUGCAUUUUUUAGAGAUAGAAAUUCCCUUCGGGGCUUUCUGCAAGGUGCUGCAUGGUUGUCGUCAGCUCGUGCCGUGAGGUGUCGGGUUAAGUCCCAUAACGAGCGCAACCCUUAUCGUUAGUUGCCAUCUGGUAAAGCAGGGGACUCUAGCGAAACUGCCACCGUAAGGUGAGAGGAAGGUGGGGAUGACGUCAAAUCAGCACGGCCCUUAUGUCCAGGGCUACACACGUGUUACAAUGGUCGGUACAGAGGGCAGCUACCUGGUGACAGGAUGCUAAUCUCGAAAACCGGUCUCAGUUCGGAUCGAAGUCUGCAACUCGACUUCGUGAAGCUGGAUUCGCUAGUAAUCGCGCAUCAGCUAUGGCGCGGUGAAUACGUUCCCGGGCCUUGUACACACCGCCCGU
rnacentral:rRNA from 1 species